AUUGAACGCUGGCGGCAGGCCUAACACAUGCAAGUCGAACGAGUGGCGCGCGCGUGAGUAAUGUCUGUGAAACUGCUCGCUGGAGGGGGAUAACUACUGGAGACGGUAGCUAAUACCGCAUACCAUCGGAUGUGCCCAGAUGGGAUUAGCUAGUAGGGGGGGUAAAGGCUCACCUAGGCGACGAUGCCUAGCUUGUCUGAGAGGAUGACCAGCCACACUGGAACUGAGACACGGGCCAGACGCCUACGAGAGGUAGCAGUGGGGAAUAUUGGACAAUGGGCGCAAUCCGGAUGCAGCCAUGCCGCGUGUAUGAAGAAGGCCUUCGGGUUGUAAAGUACUUUAAGCGGGGAGGCGUUACCCGCAGAAGAAGCACCGGCUAACUCCGUGCCAGCAGCCGCGGUAAUUC
rnacentral:rRNA from 1 species